UCCGUAGGCGGUGUGGCAAGUCGGAAGUGAAAUCUCUGGGCUUAACUCAGAGGCUGCUUCCGAAACUGCCGUGCUAGAGUGCGAGAGAGGCAAGUGGAAUUGCGGGUGUAGCGGUGAAAUGCGUAGAUAUCCGCAGGAACAUCCGAGGCGAAAGCGGCUUGCUGGAUCGCAACUGACGCUGAGGGACGAAAGCUAGGGGAGCAAACAGGAUUAGAUACCCUGGUAGUCCUAGCCCUAAACCAUCAGGACUUGGGGUUUGCCCUGUACGGGGCAACGUCCCGUAGCUAACGCGUUAAGUCCUGCGCCUGGGGAGUACGGUCGCAAGGCUGAA
rnacentral:rRNA from 1 species